GAAGACCUACGGGAGGCAGCAGUGAGGAAUAUUGGUCAAUGGGCGGGAGCCUGAACCAGCCAAGUCGCGUGAGGGACGACGGUCCUAUGGAUUGUAAACCUCUUUUGUCGGGGAACAAAGGCGCCCACGGGUGGCGUUCCGAGAGUACCCGAAGAAAAAGCAUCGGCUAACUCCGUGCCAGCAGCCGCGGUAAUACGGAGGAUGCGAGCGUUAUCCGGAUUUAUUGGGUUUAAAGGGUGCGCAGGCGGAAGAUCAAGUCAGCGGUAAAAUUGAGAGGCUCAACCUCUUCGAGCCGUUGAAACUGG
rnacentral:rRNA from 1 species